UACGUAGGGUGCGAGCGUUAAUCGGAAUUACUGGGCGUAAAGCGUGCGCAGGCGGUUGGUUAAGUCUGAUGUGAAAGCCCCGGGCUCAACCUGGGAAUGGCAUUGGAAACUGGCCAGCUGGAGUGUGGCAGAGGGGGGUGGAAUUCCCGGUGUAGCGGUGAAAUGCGCAGAUAUCGGGAGGAACACCUAUGGCGAAGGCAGCUCGCUGGGACGUUACUGACGCUGAGACGCGAAAGCGUGGGGAGCAAACAGG
rnacentral:rRNA from 1 species